UUGAACGCUGGCGGAAUGCUUUACACAUGCAAGUCGAACGGUGACGCACCUUCGGGUGCUGAUCAGUGGCGAACGGGUGAGUAACACGUGGGCAACCUGCCCCUGGCUCUGGGAUAACCCCUCGAAAGAGGAGCUAAUACCGGAUAUCAUCGCACCUGGCAUCGGGUGCGGUCGAAAGAAUUUUGGCCAGGGAUGGGCCCGCGGCCUAUCAGCUUGUUGGUGGGGUAACGGCCCACCAAGGCGACGACGGGUAGCCGGCCUGAGAGGGCGACCGGCCACACUGGGACUGAGAUACGGCCCAGACUCCUACGGGAGGCAGCAGUGGGGAAUAUUGCGCAAUGGGCGAAAGCCUGACGCAGCAACGCCGCGUGAGGGACGAAGGCCUUUGGGUUGUAAACCUCUUUCAGCAGGGACGAAAAUGACUGUACCUGCAGAAGAAGCGCCGGCUAACUACGU
rnacentral:rRNA from 1 species